GGUUUGAUCCUUAGCAAAAAAAAAAAAAAAAAAAAAAUUUUUUUUAAAGGGGAAUGGAUUUAUUUGGUUUACAGUUCAUAGAGGUUUCGGUCCAUAAUCAGCCAACUCCAAGGCAGGGACGGAAAAACAGGCGUGGUAGAGCAGAAACAACAUGGUACACAUAAGGCAGCAAAGGUAAGAGAGUUAAUAGCAUCUCCCUGCCCCUUUUAUCUUAUUGAGACCACUUAGGGCGGGUAACACUCACACCCUUAAUCCUAGUGCCCUUGAGCCUACCAUUGCAUCAUGAAUCAAUUCCAGCUUUACACACUAGAUCAGGCCUAUGACCACAUGAGCCUUUGGGGGGACAUCUAGACCCAAACCAUAACAUUCUGCCCCCUGGCCCCCCCAAAGACUCAUGUACAUUCCUUUACACAAAAGGCAUUUAGUCCAUCUCUAAAAGUUGCCAAAAUCUGAAUCAUUUUAGCAUUGCCGAAAAGUCCAAGUCCAAAGUCUCCUCUGAGAUUUAAGGCAAACUCUUAACUGCAGGCCCCUGUACAAAUGAAAAGAAAGUCAAACACUUCCAACAUUCAGUGGCACAAGGUAGACAUUACCAUUCCAAAAGGUACAAAUAGGAUACAAAGGAAAGGGACCAAAGUAAGUCCAAAAUCCAGUAGGAGAAUCAUUAAAUCCCACAGUUCUAUUUUCAGCAUCCCCAACAAUCUGUGGCAAAUUGUGAACUCCAGGGGGUUUUGGUGGCUGUGUCCCUACAGCACUUUUGGUGGUUGUAGCUCCCAUGGCUUCUCUCUUGGGCCAGCCCUGCUCCCUCCUUGCAGCUUUCCUCAGACAAUCCAUGCUCCUGGGGUCUCCAAUGCACCUUUGGCUUCACACAGCUUCACACACUGCUCUAUCAGGGACACCCUGCCUGGCCUCCCAAGCCAUCUGAAAUCUGGGUGGAAGCCUUCCUGACCCCACAACUCUUGCAUUCUGCAUGCGCCUAAAACCAGUGCCGCGAGGUGAUGCCAAGGUCUGCUGCCAGCUGCAGCAGUAGUAGCCAGUCUUCCCUCUCUCUUAGCUGUAGCGGUUGAGUACCUGGAUUGCUAAGAGCUCUGAACCCAAUCCUGAGGAACAAAUUCUCUAGGCUGCCACCAUUUUGGAACAGCUUCCCUAGGCUGCCAUUUUGGAACAACUACCCUAGGCUGCCACUAUUUUGGAACAUGGUGUGGCUGUCGCCAUUAUGGAACCUGGUUCUCUGGGGCUUUUUUUCUCAAAGCAAAUUCCUUCACCUUCAUAACUCUGAGGCUGCAAAGUGUGGAGACCUGGUGCUUCCUGUGAUGCUGUCAAACUACCUUUUCUAUUUUCCUGUUCCUUCUCAGUAAUAAAGAUAUGCUCUGCUCUGUCUUUGCAGUCUACAGCUUUACUGGAGUUCCCUUUCUGGCCCAACUCAAAAUGUUUUAAAUCAUUCUGCUGGUCUCUUUGUUCUUGAUUCUCCACAUAGAUCUGGCUAAAAGCCCCCCAGCAGUAGCCAUGCCACUGCCUCAAUAUUCUACUGCCUUGAAAUUUCUUCUUCAAGAUUAAUUACUCCACCACCCUUAAUCUCAGUCUCAGGCGAAGUCUCUGGACAUGAACAAAAUGCAGACAGGGCCGGGGAUUUAGCUCAGAGGUUCUGCCACCUGCCUCGCAAGCUCAAGGACCUGAGUUUGAUCCCUGGUACCAAAAAAACAAAACAAAAACAAAAUGCAGACAAACUUUCUGCCAAGCCAUAACACACAUCAUCUGUAGUCCAACAGCCAAUGCAGACCUUCUUCCUACCAGAAACCUUCCCAGCCUGGUCUUUAUAAGCUUUCUGGUCUUCUGAUCUCUGACCAGAAUCUCCCAUACAGAACAGCCUAAGGCAUUCCAGCCCUACGUUUUUAGCGGGAGCUCUGAACCUUCCAGCAAAGUCUCUGAACAUGAGCAAAAUUCAGACAAACUCUCUGUCAAGUCGUAACAAACAUCUUCUGGAGUCCAGCAGCCAAUGCAGUCUUUCUUCCCAGCAGAAACCUCCUGAGCCUGGUCUCUACUGGCUUCCUGGUCUUCUGAGCUCUGACCAGACUCUCCCAUACAGAACAAACUAAGGCAUUCCAGUGCUGCUUCUGUAGCCAGAAUCUCUGGAUCUUUCCUAACUCUUCUCCUUCCCACAAACCGGUUCCAAAGGCUUUUGAGCCACAUGGCCAGGUAAUGUCACAGCAACGACUCCACUUCUCUGGUACCAAAUUUCUGUGUUAGUUACUUUUCUCUCAUUGCUGAGACAAAAUGCCAGACACUCAAAGUUAAAGGGGAAGGGGUUUAUUUGACUUACUGUUCAUACAGGUUUCAGUCGCAAUCAGCCAACUCCAAGGCAGGGAUGAAAAACAGGCAUGGCAGAGCAAAAACAACAUGGUACACACAAGGCAGCAAAGGUAACAAGAGCAAAAAAAGAAAAAAUUUUUUAAAUUAAAAGAGUAAAAAAAAAAAAAGAGUAUCUGGGGCCGGGGAUUUAGCUCAGUGGUUCUGCCACCUGCCUCGGUACUGUAAAGACCCGAGUUCGAUCCACGGUACCAAAAAAAAAAAAAGUAUCUGCAUUUAUGAACAACUAGGAUAACAUAAGGGAUCCAAGGUUUGUGCGGCAGGCGGCGGAACCACUGAGCUAAAUCCCCGGCCCUGAGCUGAGACUCCAAAGUGCCAAGAACCCUGUCAAGUGGUAGUGUGGGAUAUGACCUACCUCGGCUACCAGGGAAGUCAGACAGGAGCCAAGGGGUGCCACUUGGUGUGGCCCUGAAGAAAAUUUUCCAUGGAUGACUGGAACACCCUUCUGUAUUACUCCCUGAAAUCACACUUUGGUUUCUUUCUGAUGCUUGAAACUAUUCUAUGAGCUACAAAGAUGGUAAUAAAUCUUUGCCUCCCACAGUUCAGACCAAGAAUUCACUGCAACAAGAUAUCAGCUGAUGGUUAUGAAGUAGAAAAUCUCAUCUCUGAAGACCUCACAAAGAGAAGCCAUGGUUUUAGGACAGAGUAUUUCAUUAAGCCACCAGUCCACGUGACAGUUUCCUUUCCCUUUAAUGUAUGCCAAAUCUGUAGGAUUCAUAGACCUCACAGCUUGGGGCAGCCAGAAUGUCACUGGCCUGGAGAUGUACACGUCCACCUUAUCCAGCAGAGCCUCUUGGAGUGGGCCCAAGUGCCAGGGCCUCAGCUCCACCGAGCCCUCCUGUGCCCAACAAAGAGGCGUUCACCUUGGUCGGCAAAGUCUUGCUGAAGAACCAGAGCCAAGUGGUAUUCAGCCAGGGCUUCCAAGGCCAGGCCACCUUUUAGCCCAGUGGAAGUCACACUUCCCUCCCCUGCAGUUAUGGCCCAGGAGCUCUGGAAUAAAGGGACUCUUUCCCUUUGCCAUGUGGCCCACCUCAGGAUCUGCAUCACCCACGUGACGGGCAGUGGUGUCCCUUGCAUCAAGAGGUUGGAGGCAGGGUCAGCCGGCCAAGACUUGCUCUCAGGAGGUGAUAGACAGUGUCUUGCUGGUGGCCUCAGAGAGUAUACCUCAGGACCUGGCCCUGCAGAACCGAGCCUCUGCCCAUGGAGAGUGACUGCCACCCGAAGGCCAAUCUGAGGGCCAGCAGGCCCCUUCCAGCCUCGAGGAGCUGGCUGAGGUGAUUUGGGAAGUGCCUGAGGAGUCUCCUGGAUCCCAUCACCCUGGAGAUCAUGCCCUGCCCCAUGCUGCUGCUCCUCGGGCAAGGUCAUCGAUCAGAGCACCCUAGAGAAGUGCUAACCGCAGUGAGGCCACUUGGGGCCGAGUGCCCAGUGACCCAUUCACAGGCAUUGCCUUCACCCCGCACUCCCAACCCCUGCCACACCCCACCCUGAAGGCCCGCAUAGACCACUUCCUGCUCCAGCACUCUGUCCCUAGCUGCCACCUGCUUGGGAGAGCACAGGCUGCACUCAGCAGUGACCCCUUCUUCCAUAACCCCUGCCUUCUCGGAAAAGGAAGCUGGAGCAGGGGCACCGGGCCCAGACAGUAGCCUUGGUGUGAACACUUCCUGCUUUCCUCCGGACCACAAAACUUUCUGGUCUCUUCCACUGCUUCAGAACAUUCCACCAAGAAAAUGAAGGCCACCGACGAGCCUAUCCUGAUGCACAUGGACUGCUCCACAGAAUCAGUGUCCCAUGAGCAAAAGCUGUCACAAAGCUUGAAAAUGGCCUUGAUGACCACCCUUGGCUCUAUGCCUUCCUUCACACCCCGGCUGAAUAGGGGGACAGCUCCAGCACCUGGGCACAAGAGGAAGCAGCACUUCGGGAGGCCAGGCGCCAGCUCAGGGCAGCCUGGCUGCCACCCAGGCCCCGAGUGCACCUCCUGCAAAAGAGUGUUUUCUUCCUACUUCAAAAAAGGAGCCCAUGUACCAGCUGCCCUGUGGCCACCUCCUGUGCCGCCCUUGCCUGGGUGAGAAGCAGCACUCCCUGCCCAUGACCUGCACAGCCUGCCAGCAGCCCUUCACCAGCCAGGAUGUGCUGCGGGUGCACUUCUGACUGACCAGCCUCAGCUGGAGACAGCCAUCACUGGAAGGAGCCAGUGGGGAGCAGGAUUGGGGUCACAGCACCUCUGCGGUUUGGCCAGAGACAGGCACAGAGCUGCCUGUUCUCUUUCUGGGCUUUGUCACCUCACAGUGCAGCACAGGGGUGGGGGGCAGGCUUACUUCUAUUCAGGUGGCCACAAGAUAAAGCCAUAGACUGGGUAGGGAGGGUUGGGGAGAUAUCCCUGCUCUCCUGUACCUCCCUGCCAUGCCCCUGCCAACACCUGCCCAGGGUGGGCACCCCUCCUGAAGGCAUCCCACAUUGUCUGCACACCCCCUCCCAGCAAAGCCUGCAGAGUGGGGCACAGUGAACUGCUCAGGGUCACCCAGAAGUAAACCACACGGGGCUUGGGGUGCAUGACUCAGCCCCUGCCCCCAGCUGGCAACACCUGUGGCCUUAAUAAAGUGAUGGUUGACGUCCUCCUUGGGGAGCACCUGUGUCAUCAUACUCCUGUCCCCAUUUGUCCAUUAAGUGACUGUCACGGGGCACCCAUGAAAGGACAAAAGCUAGAUGGCGUGUUCAGUCUGCCCUGUGUUGGAGGGCCCCAGGUCAGGGUUUGCAGUAGGCAUCACCGUGGGGGCUGUGUAGCCUCCAUCUGCAAGGUACCUGUUGCAGCUGUCAUGGAGAAAACACCUGUGCAGCAUGUGGCCCAUUUCAGGAAAAAAUUUGUGUUUAUAGGCUGUCUUUGUUUUUUUUUCUAUUCACAAUCUAGCUUUAUGGAGUCCCAAAGGAUAUGUAUUCCUACAGCUUUGCUUACCAUAUCAAAUAGAUUCUAGUCACCUGAAGAUUCAGUGAGGAAAUACACCACGCUAUUCUGUGCACUUCCGGAGCACACUGGGGAGACUCAGCCUGACGUGCUCCUGCUUAACCCCUGAGGUUAAUGGCAAGCCUUGUGGGCAGCCCAUUUCUUGUCCCC
ensembl:lncRNA